rnacentral:lncRNA from 1 species
ACUAUCCAGUUAAUCUGAGUUUCCAUCGAACAACCUAUCUUGUGUUGAAUCAGAGAUCAUGUCUCAAAUCUGGUCUCCCAGCUAAAACUGACAGCAUACAAUCUGCCAAGCCUGGAAGGAGAAAGAAUAGAAACCUUAUUACUGGAAGCAUUGUUUACACUUAUAAACUCAAUGCUACGAAUAAGAAUGGUGAAGAGUCCUCACGCUUUUGAAAUGGAGAUAAUUGAUUGAUUUUCUAAUAUUGAUCAUUUGCAAAACAAUACUCAUAUAUAUUGCCUGAGACUGAUGCCGCAAGUCAACGUGAUAGUUGGCCACAUCGCUUUAGAGAUACCCCUCAUCAUGCCCAGUACUGUUCCCUGUUACCUGUGCAUUUGCCAUGCCCUUGGUGUGACGCACCUGCAGGAAGGCGAGCAAGACGGUGCAGAUGCAGAGCCCAUAUGUUUCUCACAUUAGGAACACAAAGAGGCAGGGCAAUACGUGUGUGAUGCAGGGGCUCAGACAUGGGACUGGGCUCCCUAGGCCACCUCUGAUGGAAACUCCAAGAUGCUAUGACUUCCCUGAGAGCUCGUCUGCCAGGAAAUGCCAGCCUCAGCCUAGAGCAAAGAGGAGCCUGACUCUAUGGGGGCAAGUCUGCGAGGAGCCUGACCCAACAUGCGUGGGUGCUGCAAGGGGCGCUCCUGAGGCCAGAGGUUGUGCAUUUUCCAGGCGGGUGCAUGACUUGACUUUCUCUGCUCAUUGAGCCAAGGCCUGGCUCUGGUGGAAACUGCCCGCGUCAUGAAGGGCUUACUUAUUUCAUCACAGGCCCGAGCCAGGCCAACACUGGCACUGUAGCUGCCUGCUGGAGUGAUUCUUCAAUCCACAUGAAAUCCUGAAAGCCUCUCCUUAGAGACAUUAAUUAGCCCCCGAUUAAUGCUGGGCAGAAGCUUACCCUGAUAGAGAGCAGGAUUAGCUCCAGCUCUGGAGGCUGCCACCCAUCUAUCUGUAAAUUGCCCAGCAAACCAUGAAGAGGCUUCGGUCCUUUCUUAUCAAAGCAAUAAAACAGCUCAGUGUGGAAAUUACAGGGUCUUUGGAGGUUUGCUGAUUUCCUUGGCCUUUCAUUGAGGACUGUCCCCAAUCUGGCGUCCCCAGCUGUGUCUCUGGCUCUCUCCCAUUCCUCACCAGGGCCUAAUCGCAAUGCCCA